CACGCCAUAAAUGCGAAACGUCUGAAACCAUUCACAAAAACCUCUUCGCUUACUUCCACAACUAUUCACCUUCAGACUCCUCACAUCACCACUAACUUUCACAUUCCAAAAGCAACAAUUGAGUUGCACCGUUCCCAACAAAUACCUACCGCCACUUAUACCAUGGGGAAGAUCAAUCAAUUAAUAAACUCCACCCAACUACUAAACCAUCUUACACGUUCCCCUGCAAACUUCAUCUCAACAUCUUAUCACCAUACUUUCACUUCAGAAUAACACCAAAAUGAGUAUGACAUCCUCCACUGCCUCAAGCAGAGUAAGCACCCUUUCUUUAAAAC
rnacentral:lncRNA from 1 species